rfam:Macaca mulatta chromosome 4, whole genome shotgun sequence.
GCCAGGUGCAGUGACUCACACCUGUAGUCCCAGCUACUCAGGAGGCUGAGGCUGGAGGAUUGCUUGAGCCCAGGAGUUCAAGGCUGUAGUAUGCCAUGAUCAUGCCUGUGAAUAGCCACUGCACUCCAGCCUGGGCAGCAUAGCAGGACCCUGUCUCUA